rnacentral:tRNA from 1 species
GAAAAGUUAGUUUAAAUUAAAACAUUAAUUUGUCAAGUUAAAAAUAUUUUUAAUACUUUUUU